UACAGAGGUCUCAAGCGUUGUUCGGAUUCAUUGGGCGUAAAGGGUGCGUAGGCGGUUUGACAAGUCUGAUGUGAAAUCUAUGGGCUCAACCCAUAGUCUGCAUUAGAAACUGUCGGGCUUGAGUAUGGGAGAGGUGAGUGGAAUUUCCGGUGUAGCGGUGAAAUGCGUAGAUAUCGGAAGGAACACCUGUGGCGAAAGCGGCUCACUGGACCAUUACUGACGCUGAUGCACGAAAGCUAGGGGAGCAAACAGG
rnacentral:rRNA from 1 species